rnacentral:rRNA from 1 species
GUGGGGAAUCUUAGACAAUGGGGGCAACCCUGAUCUAGCCAUGCCGCGUGAGUGAUGAAGGCCUUAGGGUCGUAAAGCUCUUUCGCCGGGGAAGAUAAUGACUGUACCCGGUAAAGAAACCCCGGCUAACUCCGUGCCAGCAGCCGCGGUAAUACGGAGGGGGUUAGCGUUGUUCGGAAUUACUGGGCGUAAAGCGCGCGUAGGCGGAUCGGAAAGUUGGGGGUGAAAUCCCGGGGCUCAACCCCGGAAUUGCCUUCAAAACUCCCGGUCUUGAGGUCGAGAGAGGUGAGUGGAAUUCCGAGUGUAGAGGUGAAAUUCGUAGAUAUUCGGAGGAACACCAGUGGCGAAGGCGGCUCACUGGCUCGAUACUGACGCUGAGGUGCGAAAGCGUGGGGAGCAAACAGGAUUAGAUACCCGGUAGUCC